AGUGAACGCUGGCGGCGUGCUUAACACAUGCAAGUCGAACGAGAACGGAUUAUAGCUUGCUAUAAUUGUCAGCUAAGUGGCGCACGGGUGAGUAAUGUAUAGGUAAUAUGCUUCUUACUAAGGGAUAACAAAUGGAAACGUUUGCUAAUACCUUAUACUCCUUAUUAACAUAAGUUAAUAAGGGAAAGAUUUAUUGGUAAGAGAUUAGCCUGUAUUGUAUCAGUUAGUUGGUGGGGUAAUGGCUUACCAAGACUAUGACACAUAACUGGUUUGAGAGGAUGAUCAGUCACACUGGAACUGAGACACGGUCCAGACUCCUACGGGAGGCAGCAGUGGGGAAUAUUGCACAAUGGACGGAAGUCUGAUGCAGCAACGCCGCGUGGAGGAUGACACAUUUCGGUGCGUAAACUCCUUUUAUAUGAGAAGAUAAUGACGGUAUUAUAUGAAUAAGCACCGGCUAACUCCGUGCCAGCAGCCGCCGCGG
rnacentral:rRNA from 1 species